rnacentral:snRNA from 1 species
AUCACUUCUUGGCCUUUUGGCUAAGAUCAAGUGUAGUAAAGUGGUUGUACCACCUCCCCCAGCUCUGUUGACUUUUAAAUACAUUUAUAUAUAAUGUUUGUGGAACGGUGUCAUACUUUAUUAUUCUACCUCACACUAAAUUGCAUGGUCUCGCCUUUUAUAUUUUAUCAUUU